rnacentral:rRNA from 1 species
CAGUAGCCGCGGUAAUACGAAGGGUGCAAGCGUUAAUCGGAAUUACUGGGCGUAAAGCGUGCGUAGGCGGUGAGUUAAGUCUGCUGUGAAAUCCCCGGGCUCAACCUGGGAAUGGCAAUGGAUACUGGCAAGCUAGAGUGUGUCAGAGGAUGGUGGAAUUCCCGGUGUAGCAGUGAAACGCGUAGAGAUCGGAAGGAACAUCUGUGGCGAAGGCGACUAUCUGGGCCAACACUGACACUGAGGCACGAAAGCGUGGGGAGCAAACAGGAUUAGAGACCCGAGUAGUCCCUGUCUCUUAUAC